GUCGGGAGCUAUUAACAGUUUAAUUGAUACGCUUUUAUGAAGAAGUGGGUUUUUAACCAUUUUUUGAGUGUAGACUGGGUGAGCAUCUAACGGAGGAGGGAAGCGAGUGCCACAGGAACGGUGCAGCCCUCGAGAAAUCUUGAAGGCGAGCAUCAGAGGUGGGAGUACGGACAGAAGAUAGACGUAAGUCUUCAGCAGAUCGUAAGGGCCUAGACGGGACAUACUUGUGGAUAAGGGAGGAUAGAUA
rnacentral:lncRNA from 1 species